rnacentral:rRNA from 1 species
AUUGAACGCUGGCGGCAUGCCUUACACAUGCAAGUCGAACGGUAACGGGCCUUCGGGUGCCGACGAGUGGCGAACGGGUGAGUAAUACAUCGGAACGUGCCCGAUCGUGGGGGAUAACGAGGCGAAAGCUUUGCUAAUACCGCAUACGAUCUACGGAUGAAAGCAGGGGACGGGAAGGGCUAGCGCGGGCGGAGCGGGCGGGGGCAGAGUAGUUAGUUGGUGGGGUAAAAGCUUACCAAGCCGACGAUCUGUAGCGGGUCUGAGAGGAUGAGCGGCCACACUGGGACUGAGACACGGCCCAGGCUCCUGCGGGAGGCAGCAGUGGGGAAUUUUGGACAAAGGGCGCAAGCCUUAUCCAGCCAUGCCGCGUGCAGGAUGAAGGCCUUCGGGUUGUAAACUGCUUUUGUACGGAACGAACCGCCUUCUUUUAAUACAGGAGGGUCAUGACGGUACCGUAAGAAUAAGCACCGGCUAACUACGUG